CGUACAGGUUUCCGUAGGUGAACCUGCGGAAGGAUCAUUAAUAAAUGGCGAAGCUUUCGAGCCUAGCUUUUAUCAUCCUAUACACCUGUGAACUAUUUGCCUUCGGGCACCAAACAAACAUAAUGUAAUGAAUGUAAUCUACUAUAAUAAAUACAACUUUCAACAACGGAUCUCUUGGCUCUCACAUCGAUGAAGAACGCAGCGAAAUGCGAUAAGUAAUGUGAAUUGCAGAAUUCAGUGAAUCAUCGAAUCUUUGAACGCAAAUUGCGCCCUUUGGUAUUCCGAAGGGCAUGCCUGUUUGAGUGUCUUAUAAACCUCACCUCUAAUGUUUUAUUACAAUAGGUUGGUGCUUUGGGUGUUGCCAUUUACCUGGCUCGCCUUAAAUGUCUAAGUGGAAUGCGUAAUAAGUUCUCGCAACCCUCCACUCUAAUACAAUUUAUAUUCUGACCUCAAAUCAGGUAGGACUACCCGCUGAACUUAAGC
rnacentral:rRNA from 1 species